rnacentral:rRNA from 1 species
UUAGUUCUGGAAUAACCUUGGGAAACUGAGGAUAAGACCGGAUAGGGAAAUCUAACUGGAAGGAGGAUUUCUUCAAACGUAAGGACUAAGGAUGAGUUGGCGGCGGAUUAGGUUGUUGGCGAGGUAACAGCUCACCAAGCCGAAGAUCCGUAGGGGCCUUGAGAGAGGUAGCCCCGAGAAGGGCACUGAGAUACUGGCCCUAGCUCCACGGAGUGCAGCAGGCGCGAAAACUUUACAAUGCACGAAAGUGUGAUAAGGGAACCCCAAGUGAUUAUGCAAAGCAUUAUCUUUUGCUUAGAGCAAAUAUCUAAGCGAAUAAGUGGUGGGCAAUACCUGUGCCAGCCGCCGCGGUAACCCAGGAGCCACAAGUGGCAACCACCUUUAUUGGGCCUAAAGCGUCCGUAGCCGGUUUUGUAAAUUUUCUGUGAAAUCGUUGCGCUUAACGUAACGGCGUGCAGAAAACACUGCAAGACUAGGGACCGGGAGGAGUCAGAGGUAUUUUGGGGGGAGCGGUAAAAUGCUAUAAUCCCCGAAGGACCACCUGUGGCGAAAGCGUCUGACUAGAACGGAUUCGACGGUGAGGGACGAAAGCUAGGGGAGCAAUCCGGAUUAGAUACCCGAGUAGUCCUAGCUGUAAACUCUGCGGGCUAGGUGUUACGUAUUCUUAGGGAAUACGUGGUGUCGUAGCGAAGGUGCUAAGCCCGCCGCCUGGGGAGUACGGUCGCAAGGCUGAAACUUAAAGGAAUUGGCGGGGGAGCACUACAAGGGGUGCGGCGUGCGGUUUAAUCCAAUUCAACGCGGAGAAUCUCACCAGGAGCGACGGCAGGAUGAAGGUCAGGUUAAAGGUCUUACCUAACGAGCCGAGAGGUAGUGCAUGGCCGUCGUCAGCUCGUGCCGUAAGGUGUCCUGUUAAGUCAGGCAACGAGCGAGACCUGUAUGUACAAUUGCUAACGAGUAUAGCAAUAUAUGAUCGAGCACAUUGUGCGGACUGCCCUUGAAAAAGGGAGGAAGGCGCAGGCAACGGUAGGUCUGUAUGCUCCGAAUCUUCUGGGCUACACGCGCGCAACAAUGGUAGGUACAAUGGGAUGCAACACCGAAAGGUGAAGCUAAUCCUCUAAAACCUAUCCUAGUUCAGAUUGUGGAUUGUAACUCAUCCACAUGACGUUGGAAUCCCUAGUAAUCAGGCUUUAGCAGAGCCCGGUGAAUAUGUCCCUGCUCCUUGCACACACCGCCCGUCAAACCACCCGAGCAGGGUUUAGAUGAGGUCCAAUUUUCAAUUGGUUCGAAUCUAAGCUCAGCGAGGAGGGUUAAGUCGUCACAAGGUA